rnacentral:rRNA from 1 species
UACGAGAGGCCCAAACGUUAUUCGGAAUUACUGGGCUUAAAGAGUUCGUAGGCGGCGCAGAAAGUAGGGUGUGAAAGCCCUCGGCUCAACCGAGGAAUUGCGCUCUAAACUACUGUGCUCGAGGAAUCUAGAGGUGAGCGGAACUGAUGGUGGAGCGGUGAAAUGCGUUGAUAUCAUCAGGAACACCGGAGGCGAAGGCGGCUCACUGGGGAUUUUCUGACGC